rnacentral:lncRNA from 1 species
UGAAUAUGUCUUCUACUUGUUUUAAUAUAAUUUGAGAUUUAAAAUUUAAAAUUUUAUUUUUAAAAAAUAUAUAUUUAAAAUUUAAAUUUUAAAUAUAAAAUUUAAAAAUUUAAAUUCAAAUAUAAUAGGUAAUAUCAUUAUUUUUUUAUCUAUAACUAUCCACUAUUUUUUUUAUUCUAUCUAAUAUAUCCAAACUUAACCCCGAACCAAACAAAUCCUGAACUUAUACAUAUUUUUGAAAUAAUUUUCUACUCAACCCGAACCAAACUAA